rnacentral:rRNA from 1 species
GCUUUCUUGAUGGAGGGGUGUGGCAGACGGGUGAGUAACGCGUGGGAACAUACCCUUUGGUUCGGAAUAGCUCAGGGAAACUUGGAUUAAUACCGGAUACGUCCGCAAGGAGAAAGAUUUAUCGCCGAAGGAUUGGCCCGCGUCUGAUUAGCUAGUUGGUGAGGUAACGGCCCACCAAGGCGACGAUCAGUAGCUGGUCUGAGAGGAUGAUCAGCCACAUUGGGACUGAGACACGGCCCAAACUCCUACGGGAGGCAGCAGUGGGGAAUAUUGGACAAUGGGCGCAAGCCUGAUCCAGCCAUGCCGCGUGAGUGAUGAAGGCCCUAGGG